GAGAGACGGACCAGAGGACUCUACAGACACACAGAGAGACAGACCAGAGGACUCUACAGACACACAGAGAGACAGACCAGAGGACUCUACAGACACACAGAGAGACGGACCAGAGGACUCUACAGAGAGACAGACCAGAGGACUCUACAGACACACAGAGAGACAGACCAGAGGACUCUACAGACACACAGAGAGACAGACCAGAGGACUCUACAGACACACAGAGAGACAGACCAGAGGACUCUACAGAGAGACAGACCAGAGGACUCUACAGACACACAGAGAGACAGACCAGAGGACUCUACAGAGAGACAGACCAGAGGACUCUACAGACACACAGAGAGACAGACCAGAGGACUCUACAGAGAGACAGACCAGAGGACUCUACAGACACACAGAGAGACAGACCAGAGGACUCUACAGACACACAGAGAGACAGACCAGAGGACUCUACAGAGACACAGAGAGACAGACCAGAGGACUCUACAGAGUCACAGAGAGACAGACCAGAGGACUCUACAGAGAGACAGAACAGAGGACUCUACAGAGACACAGAAGGCUUCAGCCUACCAGACCAGGCCUCAGGAUGGACCAUGUUGUUAAGUUUGAAGGGAUUCCCAUGUCUAAGUCCAUGAGAGGGAUGUGUAAGGAGGAGGACUAUGCGUUCCUGGGAGAGAAGGGGAAAAGCCACAAGGAGACAGAUACGCUGGGAGAAGACUGGAAGGAAGACAAAGUGGAGAGGGUGCGGCGGCGUCGGGAGCGAGUGCAGCAGGAGCAGGACAGAAUCCGAGACCAGGA